UACAGAGGGUGCGAGCGUUAAUCGGAAUUACUGGGCGUAAAGCGUGCGUAGGCGGUCGUGUAAGUCGGGUGUGAAAGCCCCGGGCUCAACCUGGGAAUUGCAUUCGAGACUGCACGGCUGGUGUGCGGAAGAGGGAAGCGGAAUUUCCGGUGUAGCGGUGAAAUGCGUAGAGAUCGGAAGGAACAUCAGUGGCGAAAGCGGCUUCCUGGUCCAGCACUGACGAUCAGGCACGAAAGAGUGGGGAGCAAACAGG
rnacentral:rRNA from 1 species